rnacentral:lncRNA from 1 species
AGAACAAUGCGGGAGUUGCAGAGAGAGGUGUCCUGUGUUUGUUCCCAGUCUUCCUUCACUCACCUGCACCUGCUCCUGCCCUGCUUCGGCCAACAUGUUCUAUGCAGUGAAUUUUUGCCACCUUCAAUGAGAAAGACUGAAACAAAAAACUCAGAAGAAAGAAAGAGACUGAGAUAGCAAAUAUGACAAACUGUUAAAAAUUCAUGAAUCUGUUAUGGAAUACUAUGCAGCCAUAAAAAAGGAUGAGUUCCUGUCCUUUGCAAGGACGUGUAUGAAGCUGGAAACCAUCAUUCUGAGCAAACUAAAACAGGAACAGAAAACCAAACACCACAUGUUCUCACUCAUAAGUGGGAGUUGAACAAUGAGAACACAUGGACACGGCGGGGUGGUGGGAACAUCACACACCGGGGCCUGUCAGAGGGGAGGGGGCUAGGGGAGAGAUAGCAUUAGGAGAAAUACCUAAUGUAGAUGAUGGGUUGAUGGGUGCAGCAAACCACCAUGGCAUGUGUAUACCUAUGUAACAAACCUGCAUGUUCUGCACAUGUAUCCCAGAACUUAA